UGAAGAUAAAAACACAGCCCCGGCCGGUAGUCCGGGCACAGGUCUCCUGUCAGUAACCCUCCUCCUCGGUCGUCCAUUCUUCGC
rnacentral:ncRNA from 1 species